AGUCGAACGGAUAAAAUAAGCUUGCUUAUUUUGUUAGUGGCGCACGGGUGAGUAAUAUAUAGCUAACCUGCCCUUUAGUGGGGGACAACAGUUGGAAACGACUGCUAAUACCCCAUACUCCUUCUGAUCUUAAGAUCAGUUGGGAAAGAUUUAUCGCUAAAGGAUGGGGCUUUAUUGUAUCAGCUAGUUGGUGGGGUAAUGGCCCACCAAGGCAAUGACGCAUACCUGGUCUGAGAGGAUGAUCAGGCACACUGGAACUGAGACACGGUCCAGACUCCUACGGGAGGCAGCAGUGGGGAAUAUUGCACAAUGGAGGAAACUCUGAUGCAGCAACGCCGCGUGGAGGAUGACGCAUUUCGGUGUGUAAACUCCUUUUAUAGGGGAAGAUAAUGACGGUACCCUAUGAAUAAGCACCGGCUAACUCCGUGCCAGCAGCCGCGGUAAU
rnacentral:rRNA from 1 species